rnacentral:rRNA from 1 species
UACGAAGGGACCUAGCGUAGUUCGGAAUUACUGGGCUUAAAGAGCUCGUAGGUGGUUAAAAAAGUUGAUGGUGAAAUCCCAAGGCUCAACCUUGGAACUGCCAUCAAAACUUUUUAGCUAGAGUGUGAUAGAGGUAAGUGGAAUUUCUAGUGUAGAGGUGAAAUUCGUAGAUAUUAGAAAGAACACCGAUUGCGAAGGCAGCUUUCUGGAUCAUUACUGACACUGAGGAGCGAAAGCAUGGGUAGCGAAGAGG